UACGGAGGGUGCAAGCGUCAAUCGGAAUUACUGGGCGUAAAGCGUGCGCAGGCGGUUUUGUAAGACAGAGGUGAAAUCCCCGGGCUCAACCUGGGAACUGCCUUUGUGACUGCAAGGCUGGAGUGCGGCAGAGGGGGGUAGAAUUCCACGUGUAGCAGUGAAAUGCGUGGAUAUGCGGAGGAACACCGAUGGCGAAGGCAAUCCCCUGGGCCUGCACUGACGCUCAUGCACGAAAGCGUGGGGAGCAAACAGG
rnacentral:rRNA from 1 species